UGUGUGUGUGUGUGUGUGUGUGUGUGUGUGUGUGUGUGUGUGUGUGUGUGUGUGUGUGUGGUCUCACCAGGGGAGAGCAGGCAGAUGGCCAUCAGCAUGACGUGCUCCUCCUCGUGCAGGUUCAACUUCUUCAGGCCCACCUGGAACUUCACCAGCGGCUCCAGCAGGUCCAGAGUGUGGCCCGCUGGGGAGGAACCAACAUACACCAAGUGUUACACACUUUACCAGGAUGACAUUUCUUUAUGGGGACCGUCUGGUGCUUUACACGCUUUACCAGAAAUGAUUUUAUGGGGACCGCCUGGUACUUUACACGCUUUACAAGAAAUGACUUUAUGGGGACCGCCUGGUACUUUACACACUUUACCAGGAACGACUUUAUGGGAACCGUCUGGUGCUUUACACACUUUAACUCAUACUGUCUUUAUAGGGACUGUCUCUAUUGUAUUCAAACACUUUUACUUGAACUGUCUUUACAGGGACUUUAUACUUGUGUUUACAUUAUUUUACUAAUGAUGCCUAAGGGCUAUCUAUCUAUCUAGGUUUAAACACUGUUUCUUCUAGGUCUUCAUAAGGGCGAUCUUUAUUGGAUAUGUCCAGCUGUAGAAGGACAAGGAAAACAACACUAAAUACACACACCACCAGGAGAGUAUUUAGACGGACCAUUUAUUGGUGUUCACACACUUUACUAAUAGUGUCUGUAGGGGACCAAGAGCCACUGGGGAUAAACACCUUGUACUACACAUACCGCAGUUAGGCAAAACAGGUCUCUAGAGCACCAUUCAUAAACAAGGUCCAGAGCGCUUCACUCAGGCACACGUAUCUCUCAAGAACAACCAGUCUCAUUGAAACAGAAAUGCAAAAAAAAAAGUAGAAGUAGCAAAAAUGAUGCGGAUAUACAUUGUAUUAUAAAUCUGUGGUCAGAGCACGAUUGUGUGUGUGUGUGUGUGUGUGUGUGUGUGUGUGUGUGUGUGUGUGUGUCAUUCCACGGCAUUACAGAUAACAGUUCCACCUGUUACAGCCUGUUCACAAGGGGGGGCACGCGUGCGUAUGCGUGUGCGUGUUUGAGAGAGAGUGAGUGUGUGUGUGCGCCCAGCCAAUAAAAAACAAUGUGUGUGUUUUCUUAAGGCUCACACGGUAAAAAAGUGUUCGCAAGGGUAUCUGUUCUGCAGAUGUAACCACUGCUUUUGCCUUACCCCCCC
ensembl:lncRNA